rnacentral:miRNA from 1 species
UUAAUAUCGGACAACCAUUGUU